AUUGAACGCUGGCGGCAGGCCUAACACAUGCAAGUCGAGCGAGCGGCGGACGGGUGAGUAAUGUAUGGGGACUGCCCGAUAGAGGGGGAUAACUACUGGAAACGGUGGCUAAUACCGCAUACUAUCGGAUAACCCAUAUGGGAUUAGCUAGUGGGUGGGGUAAAGGCUCACCUAGGCGACGAUCUCUAGCUGGUCUGAGAGGGUGAUCAGCCAAACUGGGACUGGGAAACGGCCCGGACUCCUACGGAGGCAGCAGUGGGGAAUAUUGGAAAAUGGGCGCAAGCCGGAUGCAGCCAGGCCGCGUGGAUGAAGAAGGCCUUAGGGCUGUAAAGUACUUUCAGCGGGGAGGCGGUACCCGCAGAAGAAGCACCGGCUAACUCCGUGCCAGCAGCCGCGGUAAUAC
rnacentral:rRNA from 1 species